rnacentral:sRNA from 1 species
UUUUUUCUCCAUCACACCUUGUGAAGGACAUAGAACUCUUCUUUAGCCAAAAUACACGAUGUGUUUCAUUAAUAAUUAUGGUAUGUUUGUGAAUUUUAGACCUUUAUCUGUUUAGGAAUCAGUGGCCCACACAUGAACUCUGUUUCUUUGCUUCCAGAUCUACUGCCAAAACCUGUGCCUGUUGGCCAAACUUUUUCUGGACCACAAGACAUUAUAUUAUGAUGUGGAGCCCUUCCUGUUCUAUGUUAUGACAGAGGCGGACAACACUGGCUGUCACCUGAUUGGAUAUUUUUCCAAGGAAAAGAAUUCAUUCCUCAACUACAACGUAUCCUGUAUCCUUACUAUGCCUCAGUACAUGAGACAGGGCUAUGGCAAGAUGCUUAUUGAUUUCAGUUAUUUGCUUUCCAAAGUCGAAGAAAAAGUUGGCUCCCCAGAACGUCCACUCUCAGAUCUGGGGCUUAUAAGCUAUCGCAGUUAUUGGAAAGAAGUACUUCUCCGCUACCUGCAUAAUUUCCAAGGCAAAGAGAUUUCUAUCAAAGAAAUCAGUCAGGAG